CCAACCACGGGAUAAGGGAAGACCGCUCACAGCGUCAGACUGUCCUGAGCUAACCAACAUGGUGGGGUGCUUGAAGAUAAAUGUGAUGAAUUAAUAUGCCUAUGAAGAAGUGAGUGGACAAAACGGGGAGAAGAUUAUAUGCUGGCAAAAUCUGUAGGUGUGGCUUGACGUGGCUUAUUACAAAGUUACACGUUGAUUUAUGUAGGCGUAUGCUGCAAAGACUGUCAUCUGAUAAAGCCUUGCUGAAUGCUUGUGUGCAUUCUAGAGACUACAAGAUACUAUACUCUGGCAUGUUUAUUUAAGGUGGACUUUAACACAGAUUCCUGCAAGCAUAAGCUGCAGAGAUUGAUACUUAUAUUUCCCUUUAUGUAUUACUGAAUGCCUGUGUACAUUCUGGAGAGUAUAUGAAACUGUCCUUGUAUUUUUCCACCAGUUGGAUAUGUUUACAAUUGUAUUGAUUGAUGUCAUUGACUGUUAGCACUGAAGCACUUCUGCACUUUAUAUGUAUUAUUAAAUGCUUGGUAUUUGGUUUA